AUGGAGAUUAUUGACUUGUGUUCUGAUAGCGAAGACGAUGUUAAACUGUGUUCAAAAGGCAAAGACAUCACUCAUCUGUGCUCAGAGGACAGAAAAGACAGUCUUGUUCCUAUUGAUGGCGUUGACUCCUCUCUUCUUUUACUCAACACGCCGUUUGCCAAGAACAAUGCAGAACAGCCAAUCACUUUGGAUGAUGAUGAUUGGUUAAGUAGCAAUCCCGCUUCAUGCUCUUAUAGAUCUCCGGCUGGUUCAUCACACAGGAUCUAUCCUCUCUCAAGUUCUUCGCUCAUGCUAUAUGAUUCCCCAUACGGUAAAGCCAAGCAGGAAAUUGAUGAUGAUGAUGAUGUCUAUAUGUAUUCGGUUCCGCCUCCAUCAUUUCCAACCAGUCAUCCAAGUUUGAGUGACGAGGAGGAUCUUACUGCAAGGUUUAAUUAUGCUGAUGGUGGAACUGAUUGGAAACUACCUUUUGGUACCAGCCAGAACGUCAAAACUGAUAGCGAUAGCGAUGAUGUCUACGCUUAUGAAGGCCUGCAUUCACAGAGGAUGCUUCCUCCAUCAAUGCCUUCCUUUAAUCCAGUUAAUAAUGACCCUGAAGUUUCCAAUGGCUUUGGCACGCAAGGCCAACCAAACGCAGAAAAAAGGCCUCUUGGUUGUGAUGAGAGAGCUAUAUAUGAAGAAGCCCUACAGCAUAUCAGUCAGGAAACAAAGGAAGAAGAUCUGCCUGAAGGUGUUUUGUCCAUAUCACUCCUUAAGCACCAGAGAAUAGCAUUAGCUUGGAUGCUCUCCAAGGAGAAUAGUUCGCAUUGUCCAGGUGGAAUUUUGGCAGAUGAUCAGGGUCUUGGGAAGACAAUAUCAACAAUUGCCCUAAUACAAAAGGAGAGGGUUCAACAGUCUAACUUCAUAUCUGCUGAUUCCGACAGUAAAAAUUCUGUGCCAUUAGAUCUUGAUGAUGAUGAUAUAGUGAUGGCAAUGGACAAGAACAAACCCAAGGGUGAACCCUCAGAUAGGCUUGAUCAUGAGCUCUGUGCUAGUUCGUCGGGGAGUGCUUUUAAUAGAAUGGCCAAGACUGUUAAAGUUGAGCCCAAGAAGAAGGGCCGAGUGAAUCUACCAUCCUCUGCAUCAACCUCCAGGUCUGCUACUAGACCAUCUGCAGGAACACUGGUGGUUUGCCCGGCUAGCAUUCUUAAGCAGUGGGCUAGUGAGAUCAAAGCCAAGGUUGCUGAAAGUUCCAGAUUAUCUGUUUUGGUUUAUCAUGGAGGUUCAAGGACUUCAAAACCAACUGAGUUGGCAAAAUAUGAUGUUGUUGUCACCACAUAUACUAUUGUAGGCCAAGAAGUGCCCAAACAAGACUCUGAUGACGAUAUGGAGCCAAAUCACGAUGAAAAGUAUGGGUUAUGUCCUGAUUUUGCUGCUCGUAAAAGAAAACUGACAAAACAGACCAAGAAAAAGGCAAUAAAGAAAAAGAAGGUUAACAAUUCAGCCGCUGACCUGGAUGGUGGUCCACUUGCCAGGGUGCGAUGGUUUAGAGUUGUGCUGGAUGAAGCUCAAACAAUAAAAAAUCACCGGACUAAAUCUGCUAGAGCCUGUUGUGGACUGAAAGCAAAAAGGAGAUGGUGCUUAUCGGGUACACCUAUGCAAAAUACAAUUGACGACCUGUACAGUUAUUUCCGCUUUUUAAAAUAUGAGCCAUAUUCUUCAUUUAGUUUGUUCCGCUCGAUGAUAAAGGGUCCAAUAUCUAGAGGCUCAAGUCAGGGGUAUAAGAAACUUCAAACUGUCUUGAAGAUAAUUCUGUUGCGGCGCACAAAAGAAACACUACUUGAUGGAGAACCUAUUAUAAAAGUACCUCCAAAGACAAUUGAGCUGAAGAAAAUAAAUUUCACACAAGAGGAACGGUAUUUCUAUUUGGCUCUUGAAGAAGGUUCUCGGGAAAAGUUCAAGGAAUUUGCUGCUGCUGGAACAAUAAAACAAAACUAUGCAAACAUUCUUGUAUUGCUGCUGCGGCUUCGGCAAGCUUGUGAUCACCCUUAUCUUCUGAAGGAUGACAAUCAAGCAAAUUAUACUGACCCGGCUUCCAUAGAAAUGGCAAAACAACUUCCUAGGGAAAUAGUGAUGAAUUUGCUCGAAAAGCUGGAGGUACGGCGACCAAUUUGUAUGAUAUGUGCGGAGCAGAGAAAGAACGACAUGGACUCUCGCACAGGACCAAAGGAACCACCUGAGAAUGCUGUUAUAACAACAUGCUGCCAUAUUUUCUGCUAUGAAUGUGCACAAGAGAGCUUAAGUGAAGAGGAAGUCUGCCCUGUUUGCAAACAGAAAUUAAGUUCUGAAUUGCUUUUUUCACGCCCAGUAUUAAGGCUCUGUAUCUCUGAUGAGUUGGAGUCAUAUGCAAUAACUAGUUCUGCAGCAGCAGCAGGAGAUAGUUCUGCAGCAUCAGCAUCAUCGGCAGCAGUAGUAGCAGCAGCAGGAGCAGAUAAUUCUGCAUCAUCGGCAGCAGUAGUAGCAGCAGCAGGAGCAGAUAAUUCUGCAUCAUCGGCAGCAGUAGUAGCAGCAGCAGCAGCAGAUAGUUCUGCAGCAGCAGCAGAUGAAAAAUCCUUGAUUUGCGAAGCCAGUUACAUCUCAUCGAAGAUCAAGGCGGCCGUUGACACGCUUAAAUCAAUCUUCAACACACAUGGCCCUACUGAUAGUGAUGCUCCUAAGGCAAUAGUCUUCUCCCAGUGGACUGGCAUGCUGAACGUCCUGGAGCUUUCACUGAAUAGCAAUUUCAUAAACUUCAGAAGGCUUGAUGGGUCAAUGUCCCUUGACGAUAGAGAAGAAGCAGUGCAAGAGUUUAAGGCUGACCCAGCGGUAAGAGUGAUGCUCAUGUCACUGAAGGCUGGUAAUCUUGGUCUAAACAUGAUAGCUGCUAGCCAUGUGAUCAUGCUCGAUCCCUGGUGGAACCCUUACGCUGAGGACCAGGCGGUUGAUAGAGCACACAGAAUCGGCCAGACCCGUCCUGUGACUGUCACUCGAUUCACAGUCAAUGGCACAGUGGAAGAUCGCAUCUUAGCUCUGCAGGCGAAAAAGAGGGAGAUGGUGGCAUCAGCAUUUGGCGACGAGAAAACGGGUGGCAUCGCAACUCGGCUCACGGUGGAAGAUCUCGGAUAUCUCUUCAACGUAUAG
rnacentral:rRNA from 1 species